rnacentral:rRNA from 1 species
UGAGGAAUAUUGGACAAUGGGUGAGAGCCUGAUCCAGCCAUCCCGCGUGAAGGACGACGGCCCUAUGGGUUGUAAACUUCUUUUGUAUAGGGAUAAACCUACCCUCGUGAGGGUAGCUGAAGGUACUAUACGAAUAAGCACCGGCAUCC